GCCUGUCUGGCUAAGUCGGUAGUGUACGUGACUCUUGAUCUCAGCGUCAUGAGUUCAAGCCCCAUGAUGGGCA
rnacentral:tRNA from 1 species